rnacentral:rRNA from 1 species
GUGGGGAAUUUUGGACAAUGGGCGCAAGCCUGAUCCAGCAAUGCCGCGUGCAGGAAGAAGGCCUUCGGGUUGUAAACUGCUUUUGUACGGAACGAAACGGUCCUGGUUAAUACCUGGGGCUAAUGACGGUACCUGCAGAAUAAGCACCGGCUAACUACGUGCCAGCAGCCGCGGUAAGACGUAGGGUGCAAGCGUUAAUCGGAAUUACUGGGCGUAAAGCGUGCGCAGGCGGUUUUGUAAGACAGGUGUGAAAUCCCCGGGCUCAACCUGGGAACUGCACUUGUGACUGCAAGGCUAGAGUGUGUCAGAGGGAGGUGGAAUUCCGCGUGUAGCAGUGAAAUGCGUAGAGAUGCGGAGGAACACCGAUGGCGAAGGCAGCCUCCUGGGAUAACACUGACGCUCAGGCACGAAAGCGUGGGGAGCAAACAGGAUUAGAAACCCGGGUAGUCC